rnacentral:rRNA from 1 species
GAUGAACGCUGGCGGCGUGCCUAAUACAUGCAAGUCGAGCGAACAGACGAGGAGCUUGCUCCUUUGACGUUAGCGGCGGACGGGUGAGUAACACGUGGAUAACCUACCUAUAAGACUGGGAUAACUUCGGGAAACCGGAGCUAAUACCGGAUAACAUGUUGAACCGCAUGGUUCAACAGCGAAAGACGGUCUUGCUGUCACUUAUAGAUGGAUCCGCGCCGCAUUAGCUAGUUGGUAAGGUAACGGCUUACCAAGGCAACGAUGCGUAGCCGACCUGAGAGGGUGAUCGGCCACACUGGAACUGAGACACGGUCCAGACUCCUACGGGAGGCAGCAGUAGGGAAUCUUCCGCAAUGGGCGAAAGCCUGACGGAGCGACGCCGCGUGAGUGAAGAAGGUCUUCGGAUCGUAAAACUCUGUUAUUAGGGAAGAACAAAUGUGUAAGUAACUAUGCACGUCUUGACGGUACCUAAUCAGAAAGCCACGGCUAACUACGUG